UUGACCUCGGAUCAGGUAGGAGUUACCCGCUGAACUUAAGCAUAUCAAUAAGCGGAGGAAAAGAAACCAACCGGGAUUGCCUCAGUAACGGCGAGUGAAGCGGCAAGAGCUCAAAUUUGAAAUCUGGCCCCUUUGGGGUCCGAGUUGUAAUUUGCAGAGGAUGCUUCGGGUGCGGUCCCCGUCUAAGUGCCCUGGAACGGGCCGUCAUAGAGGGUGAGAAUCCCGUCUGGGAUGGGCGGCCGUGCCCGUGUGAAGCUCCUUCGACGAGUCGAGUUGUUUGGGAAUGCAGCUCUAAGUGGGUGGUAAAUUUCAUCUAAAGCUAAAUACUGGCCGGAGACCGAUAGCGCACAAGUAGAGUGAUCGAAAGAUGAAAAGCACUUUGAAAAGAGAGUUAAACAGCACGUGAAAUUGUUGAAAGGGAAGCGUUGUCCACCAGACUCGCCCGGGGGGGCUCAGCCGGCACGUGUGCCGGUGUACUCCUCUCCGGGCGGGCCAGCAUCGGUUUGGGCGGCUGGUGAAAGGCCCCGGGAAUGUAACACCCUCCGGGGUGCCUUAUAGCCCGGGGUGCCAUGCGGCCAGCCU
rnacentral:rRNA from 1 species